rnacentral:rRNA from 1 species
CACGUAGGGGGCAAGCGUUGUCCGGAUUUAUUGGGCGUAAAGAGCUCGUAGGUGGUUCGGUAAGUCGGGUGUUAAACCCCCAGGCUCAACCUGGGGACGCCACUCGAUACUGCUGUGACUAGAGUCCGGUAGGGGAGCGUGGAAUUCCUGGUGUAGCGGUGAAAUGCGCAGAUAUCGUUUGGAACGCCAAUGGUGAAAACAGACAGCUGGGAGUGUGCUGACGCUGAGACACGAAAGCCAGGGGAGCGAACGGG